rnacentral:lncRNA from 1 species
ACGCAGAGGGGAACCACCGCAACUGCCAUCCUUGUCUACAGCUACGACUGUCCUUCUGGUCACUUUGAACCUGCUGCCCGAAGGGAAGAGAGGGGAUGAAGAAAAAAAAAAACCUACCUCAUUGUUUGAUACUUCUUGUGAGGAUUGACGAAGCCCUAGAGGGUGAGGGGAGGUGAGGCCAGGGUUGAGCUUCAAAUCCCUGACUUCCCUAUCCUGCCUCUGAACAGGCUCCAGUGGGGGCCAUGAAGUAUAUUUCUGAUGCUGUAUAUUGCACAUGAUUGAGGGAACUUGACAUAUUAAUUCUGUGCUUCUCCCUGGGUCUGAAAUAGCACUGCCUGGAGUCCAGUCCUGCAUCUGCCUCUGCUAGAGAUGGUGGCUGUAGCCUCUGCUUUGUUUACCCAAGACUCAGACAAGUCAGAAUAUAACUGAAGAACGAAUAGGUGUACCCAUCAGGAAAAUUAUUUGCAUAAAAGACCAAGGUACUAUCUGGGGAGAUGAAAAAUAAGGAAAACAACAAAAAAUAACAAAAAUCACAUUUCACUCACAGGAAUGAGAGAGUGAAGACUACAGAUUUGAUCUGGCUAAUCACUCAGGAUCACAGGAAAGGUCUGUUCAGAUUCACAACAGUCCCUGAGUCGAAGGUCCUGGUGCUAUGAGCAAGAAAUGAUGGGGCUCACUCAUGCCAUUUCUCUAAGACUUUGGGAACACUGCUUUUAAGACGCAUAGCAACAGACCCCAGGUGGACUAAAGAAUAGAGCGUGGGGAGAGGAAUUCUUUACACUGCAGCCUCAAGAGUCAUGGUCACAGAAAGCCAAAACAGUCUUUACAGAGGAGCAAAAGGCAGAGAGGAGAUUCCCCAUAGUCGGAGAAAACUGGACUAAAGAAGAAUCACUCUACGUAAGCGAAUCUGUGGUCUUCUCUCUCACUCAGAGACCUCAGGGGAGCAUGAGAAAUGAGUCAGUCUCUCUGAGGACCCACCAAGCUGCCAGAGCUAAACAAGAGUCUUGUUUGAACUCUGAAGGGGAGAAGGGACAGAAGGCAUGGAUGAGAACACAGCUGCAGUUGACUUCCGUGAAACCAUCUGGAGAGCAUGGCCCAAGAAAGAGAAAAGGGCACGGGGACCAAAUUAAGAAUGUUCUUAGUUAAUUUUCUAAAGAAUGAGUCCACUGAAAAACCACCCACUCCUGGGUUCCUGAUAAUGCAAACUUCAUUCAUUUGUUUAUUCAUUCAACAAAUGGAGUAGCUCCGACCAAUAUUAUGGAUUGGCUUGGAAAAUACCUCUGGCUUCUUGGCAGAGAAUCAAGCAAGAAACUUACAUGUGAUUUUGGUCUAUUCUAAAUAACUUCUCUAGGUUACAUACUUACACGCUGAUGGUUCACACAUAAGGAGGACAAAAGGAAUGCUACCAAAACAAAAAUCACCCCUCAAAAUUAUUUAAAAGGCAGAAGAUUUUAAAUUGAAGAAAUAUCUUUAGCAUCAAGUCAGGGUAUGAAUGUACCAGAAAGGCUUUGUUUUAGCAAAUUUACUUCCCAAAGGGCAGAAUAAUAUAUAUGAAAUGAAAAAUGCACAGGCCUUUUGUUCUUUAAUGACCUUGGGGGAAUAUUCUAAUUUAUCAGGAAUCUGCCAAGAAAACAGUUUACCUCUUCAGUUGUCUCAUUUUGUGUUUCUGAAUUUUUUUUUUUUU